rnacentral:rRNA from 1 species
GUGGGGAAUAUUGCACAAUGGGGGAAACCCUGAUGCAGCGACGCCGCGUGAGUGAAGAAGUAUUUCGGUACGUAAAGCUCUAUCAGCAAGGAAGAAAAUGACGGUACUUGACUAAGAAGCCCCGGCUAACUACGUGCCAGCAGCCGCGGUAAUACGUAGGGGGCAAGUGUUAUCCGGAUUUACUGGGUGUAAAGGGAGCGUAGACGGUAUGGUAAGUCAGAUGUGAAAGCCCGGGGCUCAACCCCGGGACUGCAUUUGAAACUAUCAGACUAGAGUGCAGGAGAGGUAAGUGGAAUUCCUAGUGUAGCGGUGAAAUGCGUAGAUAUUAGGAGGAACACCAGUGGCGAAGGCGGCUUACUGGACUGUAACUGACGUUGAGGCUCGAAAGCGUGGGGAGCAAACAGGAUUAGAUACCCUAGUAGUCC